UCAAGGUAUAGCAGUCUAACACAACCCUUUAUUACAUUCAUGGAUUUUGUGUUUCAGGAGUUCGAACAGGGCAGAGGAAGAACGGCACUUCUGACAUCAGAGGCUCCAGCUGAAAGGUUCCAAAUCUAGGAGCUGGAGUCCAUCACUCACAGGAAGAGAAGAUUAGGACACAGAGAUACCAGAGAGGUCGUUCACAGAGGAAAGACCAUGUGAAGACGCAGUGAGAAGGUGGCCAUAUUCAAGCUGAGGAGAGAGGCCUCAGAAGAAACCAAUACUGCCAACGCCUUGGUCUUGGACUUCCAGCCUCCAGAACUUGGACUCUACCUUCCUUCCCCUGAUUCUCAUGAGAAUCUGAUCAUUGCUAAAGUGGGCAAGGUCCUGGAUCAGAAGAUGCCUGACAAGAGGCCACUAUCAGCAGCAACAGCACAGUGGGGACAAACCUGAGACCUUGAUGGACCGUGGACACCAGCAGGAGAGACAGAGGAACUUGAAGUCUAAAUGGGCAGACAAGACCAACAUACACAAAGCAGAGAGUGGCACAAGAGCCAUGUCUGAUGCAACAGUGACUCAGGAGGAUCACUCUGACUCAGAAUGGCCAAGCAAAGGUUAGCGUGUUAAGUCUCUGAAGCUGAUUAACGGCUUAACUCAAGUUUUCGCACCUGCAGACCAGUGACCCCACCCCCGCACCCCCCCGCAAGGCAUCUGUUUGACAUCUCUUUAAUUUUAUUAGUGGCUUAUGGACAAAAUCACUUAACUUAAACUUUUUCAAGUGUAAGUUAUUUGGAUUCACAAGAGCAUUUUUCUCCCUGUUAUAAAUCAAUGAACCCAGUUAAGAUUAACUGCCUACAUGUGAGCUUCAAAAGAUCUUCUAUGGCCAGGCAAAGUUGAAAGAAACACAUAAUUCCAUAACAUGCUAAACACAAGUUGAUCAAAGUUUUUGGAGCUGGUUACUUAAUGCUGUACUUCCUCAUUCUCAAACAAUCUGAUUUCAAGUAGUUUGUGUCUAAAACAUAUAUUACUAGACUGCAAACACUCAUCCUUUGGAAGAAAAAUCAUUUCUGUACCUUAACUGGUCAAAAUCUAUGUUUCAACAGACCUAAACUAAACUCUGGGCUAAACAUUCCUGAACCUAAUUUGUGAAAUUCCAUAAUGUUUGGAGAUUAAAGCAAAAAGAAAUGAAAAUAAAAGAAACAUAGCUAAUGAUUCAUUUUAAACAUGAAAACUUCCUAUAUAGAAUAAUCAUGGAAUCCUGGAAGCAAAAGGAAUCAUAGGCCUUAGAUAUUAAACAGUGUGUUGGGUGGGGGGCAUUGUUCAAGUCCUUGGAAUUCUGAGGAAAUGUCAUGGGUGGGGGCAGUCAUUGCAGGGGAUGGGGGAGUUGAGGCGACCAAUAAGGUAGGGUACAACCAAACAGUCUUCCUUUUACACAUACAUAUUUUAAAUUUUAUGCUUUCAUGUAAGAGAUCAUUUGAAAAAAAUUACACUACUUGAAAAUAAAUUGAAAGUCUCUGAUCUAGUCCAGUAUUUCACACAAAUCAGUAUCUUCUAUGACAAUCUUGACAGGCAGUAAUCCAAUAUCUGUUUGCACACUGCUGUCAUUGUGAGUUCACUGUCCUGAAGCAGCUCAUUUCCAUAUCAGAUAUCUCAAGUUCUUGGGAUGCUUAUUUCUUCUAGAGUGCCAUAUUUAACCCCCUGUAACUUCUAUGGCCUACUUAUCUUCUCUGAAAUAAUACAGACUUUCUAUCUGUUACCUCCCUCCCUUAUGUUUGCUGUCACAAAUGGAUAAACUGUGAAUGCUGUUUUGUGCAGGCUAACCAAUCUCAGUUCCUCAAAUAUAUACCUUUUGAAUUGGAAGAAUCAAUAUCAUUAAAAUGACCAUAUCACCCAAAACAAUGUAUAGAUUCAAUGCUACUCUUAUCAAAUUACCAAUGUCAUUCUUCAUAGAAUUAGAAAAAAAUAGUCUAAAAUUCAUAUGGAGCAUAAAAAGAACCCUAACAGCCAAAGCAAUCUUAAGCAAAAAGACCAAAGCUGGAGGCAUCACACCACCUGACUUCAAACUAUAAUAACCAACACAGCAUGGUACUGGCACAAAAGCAGAGACAUAGACCAACGGAUCAGAAUAGAAAACUUAAAAGUAAAGCAGCACACUCACAGCCAUCUGAUCUUCGACAAAGCCCACAAAAACAAGCAAUGGGGAAAUGACUCCCUAGUCAAUAAAUUGUCCUGGUGUAACUGGCUAGCCAUUUGCAAAAGAAUGAAGCAGGACCUUUACCUUUCACCAUAUAAAAAAAUAAUUCUAAAGG